rnacentral:lncRNA from 10 species
AGACUUGGGCUGGGUGUGGUGGCUCACGUCUGUAAUCCCAGCACUUUGGGAAGCUAAGGCGGGCAGAUCACCUGAGGUCAGGAGUUUGAGACCAGCCUGGCCAACAUGGUGAAAACCCAUCUCUACUGAAAAUACAAAAUUAGCCAGGCAUUGGUGGCGGGUACCUGUAAUCCCAGCUACUUGGGAGGCUGAGGCAGGAGAAUGGCUUGAACCUGGGAGGCGGAGGUUUCAGUGAGUCGAGAUCACACCACUGCACUCCAGCUUGGGCAUCACCAGUGAAAUUACAUCUCAAAAAGAAAAGGCGUGAGCCACCCUGCCCUGCUCAGCAGCACUUCUUUCUACAGAAGAUAAACCAGGCUCGGAGAGGUGGAGGGACCUCCCUAGUGGGGCUGUGGCUGCAAAGAUGGUGGCUCACCAGCAGCGUCCUCGUUUGUCACCCACAUUCUCUGGCUACCUCCAUCCAGCGCCUCUCCUUGGGGCCUGGUGGGGCAGACGUCCUGAGCACCUGCCCUGGACUCUGGGGACCCGGUGGGGAGGGGACAUGUGCCCUUGCUGGAGCCACAGAAGCCUGGAGUCGGUUCACCCGGCCCCUCCUAGUGGCUAUGGAGUCUUCAUGCUGUGCAGCCUUGAGGAUGGCGAGACCGGGGUCCCAGGUGUGGGGUCCAGGCCUGGGUGACCCCAGGUGCAUCACUGAGGUGGUGGGAGACUCCAUGCCUCACCUACAA